UAUUAGAAAGUCGUAAGUGUCAAUCAAUCUAUGUGACACUGGCGACCUUCUAAAACG
rnacentral:pre_miRNA from 1 species